rnacentral:rRNA from 1 species
UGAACGCUGGCGGCAGGCCUAACACAUGCAAGUCGAGCGGUAGAGAGAAGCUUGCUUCUCUUGAGAGCGGCGGACGGGUGAGUAAUGCCUAGGAAUCUGCCUGGUAGUGGGGGAUAACGUUCGGAAACGGACGCUAAUACCGCAUACGUCCUACGGGAGAAAGCAGGGGACCUUCGGGCCUUGCGCUAUCAGAUGAGCCUAGGUCGGAUUAGCUAGUUGGUGAGGUAAUGGCUCACCAAGGCGACGAUCCGUAACUGGUCUGAGAGGAUGAUCAGUCACACUGGAACUGAGACACGGUCCAGACUCCUACGGGAGGCAGCAGUGGGGAAUAUUGGACAAUGGGCGAAAGCCUGAUCCAGCCAUGCCGCGUGUGUGAAGAAGGUCUUCGGAUUGUAAAGCACUUUAAGUUGGGAGGAAGGGCAGUUACCUAAUACGUGAUUGUUUUGACGUUACCGACAGAAUAAGCACCGGCUAACUCUGUGCCAGCAGCCGCGGUAAUACAGAGGGUGCAAGCGUUAAUCGGAAUUACUGGGCGUAAAGCGCGCGUAGGUGGUU